rnacentral:rRNA from 1 species
GACGAACGCUGGCGGCGUGCUUAACACAUGCAAGUCGAACGGAAAGGCCCUGCUUUUGUGGGGUGCUCGAGUGGCGAACGGGUGAGUAACACGUGAGUAACCUGCCCUUGACUUUGGGAUAACUUCAGGAAACUGGGGCUAAUACCGGAUAGGAGCUCCUGCUUCAUGGUGGGGGUUGGAAAGUUUCGGCGGUUGGGGCUGGACUCGCGGCUUAUCAGCUUGUUGGUGGGGUAGUGGCUUACCAAGGCUUUGACGGGUAGCCGGCCUGAGAGGGUGACCGGCCACAUUGGGACUGAGAGACGGCCCAGACUCCUACGGGAGGCAGCAGUGGGGAAUAUUGCACAAUGGGCGGAAGCCUGAUGCAGCAACGCCGCGUGCGGGAUGAAGGCCUUCGGGUUGUAAACCGCUUUCGCCUGUGACGAAGCGUGAGUGACGGUAAUGGGUAAAGAAGCACCGGCUAACUACGUG